AAUAGAUACCCCGGUAGUCCACGCCGUAAACGAUGUCGACUUGGAGGUUGUUCCCUUGAGGAGUGGCUUCCGGAGCUAACGCGUUAAGUCGACCGCCUGGGGAGUACGGCCGCAAGGUUAAAACUCAAAUGAAUUGACGGGGGCCCGCACAAGCGGUGGAGCAUGUGGUUUAAUUCGAUGCAACGCGAAGAACCUUACCUACUCUUGACAUCCAGAGAACUUAGCAGAGAUGCUUUGGUGCCUUCGGGAACUCUGAGACAGGUGCUGCAUGGCUGUCGUCAGCUCGUGUUGUGAAAUGUUGGGUUAAGUCCCGCAACGAGCGCAACCCUUAUCCUUUGUUGCCAGCGGUUCGGCCGGGAACUCAAAGGAGACUGCCAGUGAUAAACUGGAGGAAGGUGGGGAUGACGUCAAGUCAUCAUGGCCCUUACGAGUAGGGCUACACACGUGCUACAAUGGCAUAUACAAAGAGAAAGCGGCCUCGCGAGAGCAAGCGGACCUCAUAAAGUAUGUCGUAGUCCGGAUUGGAGUCUGCAACG
rnacentral:rRNA from 1 species